UCCAAACCGUAUUUCUAUCACGACGAGAAGGACACUUGUUUGGAAACAGUAUACACUGAUUUGGGAUUAGAUCAUUUCUUCGUUGUUCUUUAUCGCCCAGAGCUCUGCAACGAAAAAAAAAAAGGUUUAGUUAUUCAUCAAGUUUUAGCUCAAUUGUUCUUUUCAAAUAUCUUUGAUUUCUCUCCUAAUGUCUUGUUCUUCUCGAUCUAAUUAUUCUCUGAAAUCCUAGAAAUGAGAGAUGGCACCAGAUUGGUGGUAAGGUUUAUGUCUACAUCAGAUAUAAAGCAGAAGAUUCAGAACUCUGUACGGGAGAUUCAGUGUUCAUUUGAGAUUGAUAUCAAGAGCUUUGGAUCUUCUUAUGAGGAAGAUAGUUAGAUGUGAUUUUCUACUCAAAGGAUCUGCUGAUCAAGAGUUCUUAACUUUAAGGUUAAGGAGUUAGUUAGCGGUGCUGUCGACUCAUAUACACUAGAGAUCAAAUACUUUCAGUGAUGUGGAUCUUAAAACUCUCCUUGUAUAUACAUUCAUAUCAGCCCCAAUUUACAUAUAUUAAAUGCACCAACUCCUAACAUUUUCAUCAUAAGUUUCUCAAGGCUUAUCAGUCGGACGCGAAGGUAUGUCAUUAUUUAUUACUGAAUUAAGAUACCGAAUGGCUAUAAAAUAAGCUUACUUCUAUCUUAAAUUGGAUGAGAAAGAAAUAAGCAAUUAUUGAAGAUGAGGAAAAGGAAUCCAUUAAUUCUCCAAAUUCAGUUGGGUUAUAGAGAUUUUCAGAGUUGGUGAUAAUUUGGAUUAUGUUUUAAUGGCGAUUGGUACAUUAGGUGUUAUUGUUCAUGGUUGUUCUUUACCCUUGUUUUUUUUAGAUUCUUUGCUGGUAGCAUUUCUUAAUUUUCUCUAAUUUUUGCAUCUUUUUUUAUUUUGAUUUUUUUUAUUCAUGUGUUCGGUUGAGUAGUUGAUAUGACUUUGUGAUCAUGUCGACAAUAUCAUGGAGAAGACCCACGUGGAAGAGAUUGAAACAGAUCACAUUUUAAUCUGACAAGGAGGGUUAAUAACGGUUUCUCAAUAGCCAAAGAUUCCCUAUGACUAAGAAUCAACAGGUUUGGUAAUUCGAAUCUACUCUUUUGAUGCGACUAGGAAUGAGUUCAGUCUCGAAACCAAGUCUAUUGUUGUUGUUGCAUUGGCUACUAGGAGUUUGGAAGUUGAAGUUAAAGUCACCAAAGCUCAUAUUUGGGACACCUCUAGUCAAGAAAGGUACUUUUCGAGAGAGCUUAAAAAAGUGGAGAAGAACAAUGGAAAAGUUUUGUAGAUCGAGGAUGGAAAAGUUUUGCAUGGUCCUUACGUGGAGGAUUCAAGUUGUAUAUGGUGUUCAAACUGACGCAUCUUGUCUUGUUUUUGAAUUUUUUGGAUUUUUUUGUAGAAGUGUGCUUGUAUAACAGUGUAAAUUAAGAUUUUUAAAAAAAGAAAAUUAUAUAGUCAUAUGGGUAUUCUUUUUGUAGAUCUCGG